GAUGAACGCUGGCGGCGUGCCUAAUACAUGCAAGUCGAGCGAACAGACGAGGAGCUUGCUCCUCUGACGUUAGCGGCGGACGGGUGAGUAACACGUGGAUAACCUACCUAAAAGACUGGGAUAACUUCGGGAAACCGGAGCUAAUACCGGAUAAUAUAUUGAACCGCAUGGUUCAAUAGUUAAAGACGGUUUUGCUGUCACUUAUAGAUGGUUCCGCGCCGCAUUAGCUAGUUGGUAAGGUAACGGCUUACCAAGGCAACGAUGCGUAGCCGACCUGAGAGGGUGAUCGGCCACACGGGAACUGAGACACGGUCCAGACUCCUACGGGAGGCAGCAGUAGGGAAUCUUCCGCAAUGGGCGAAAGCCUGACGGAGCAACGCCGCGUGAGUGAUGAAGGUCUUCGGAUCGUAAAACUCUGUUAUUAGGGAAGAACAAAUGUGUAAGUAACUAUGCACGUCUUGACGGUACCUAAUCAGAAAGCCACGGCUAACUACGUG
rnacentral:rRNA from 1 species